AUUACAUUUCCAGGCCACAGAAACCACACUGGAAAGUUCGCGUCGCGUUACUCGCUGUCAGGGCCGGGGCCGGGACCGGAGGAGCAGCGCGGCGCGGAGCCCAGGCGGCCUCUCGGUGUCAUUAACAAAACAAACAAACAGCAUUGCCCAUAAUGAGCUCCGGCUUCGGGCGGAGGAGGGGUGAUUAAAGCAGGCUGCCAGGCGCUGGGGGGGCCCCGUGCCCGGCUAUCGCCGUGCUCCCACCCAACUCCUGCUGGGGAAGGGUGCCCCGAGCCCCCAGCGCCCGGUUCAGCGCUCAGCACCGCCUGGUCCGAGUCCUCAGCGCUCCCCAUCCCCGGCGAGGCUCUCACCCGAAGCUCACAGGCUUUGUGGUCUGGAGCCCUACGCCCCAGGAUCUCAACUGAAAACCUGCUCAAGAGCAUUCUUCUGCUGGUGGUUUCGGAAAGGGCAGAUUGCAGCAUUGCACCCAGGACAAGUCACUCACUUAUGGCUUACGUGCUGCUCUUCAUUACCUUCCAGCCUGGGCACAUCCGAGGAGCUCAACACUAUUCCCAGUCCCAGGACAGCUCUUCGCUCCCACUGCUGGUGCCAGCAACACUUCAGGUGCUCUUCUGGCUCCCAGCUCCCAACCCUGUAUUUCCUCAGAAGCCACUGGUGCCCAGAACUGAGGGCUGGUGCAAAGCCGAGCACAUUCCUGCACAGAGCUCAGUUGCCUUGCUGCAGGAACAACAUGGCAUGGCAGGGCACACCACGGCACUGCAUGACAUGGCAUGGCACAGUGUGGCCCCUCUGCUGGGCAGUGGUCCUUGUUCCUGAAGGAAUUCACCCGUGUGGGACCUGUGCUGUGCUGAGGGAUCCAGACGUGAGCAGCAGAUAUCUCCUCCGUGCCCAUCCCACGUCUACGUGAAAUACCCAGAGGCGCUGGCUCGCAGUGAGGGCUAAUGAGCGGAUUAUUGCAGCAUUUUAAAACUCAGCUGUUUCAUAAAUAGGGUUUACCCAGUGAAACCAAGAAGACAUUAAAAAAAAAAAAAAAAAGACGUUCACCCCCUUCUCCACACCUCAGCAGCUCCCUAAUAGCAGGCUCAGCAGUGCUUGAGGCCUCAUUUUUCAAACUCUCCUAUCUCAAAGACAUCGCUCUCCAUUACUAUCAAGCCUCUCCCUCCUGCUCCAGUUCUCCAGCACCCAGAAUCCAGGUGCACACUGUGCCACCAAGAGCAGCAUGGGGCUUUCAGCCUCAUCACUGCACGAGUCCAUGGGCAGGAGGGCAGCAGGGCUCAGUGCUGAGCACAGCCCUGUCCUUGCUGCUUGCAGCGGUCACCAUUCCCCAGGGCCAGCAGAGUGCUUGCAGGUCCCUGCAUCUCACUGGGAGCGUCUUCCAGGGGUGGCAUUGCAACAAGAUUGUCCCAGAGCUGCCCAUGGGGUAAGAAAAACCCAGUUAAUUGGUUAUUGUGCUGGCCUCAAGCACUCACGAAAGCAAUCAGCACCUGUUCCCUGAGCAGUGCCCUCUUGCAGGGAAUGUUGUGCGCUCUGUGUUCUGCUCUCCAGUGUCCCCACCACUUCCCCAAAGCAUUGCCAAGCAUAGGGUGUUCUGGUCACCUCUGUUUCUCCAGAGGGAGCAGGGAAGGCAGAAAGAGAGGAGCUGAGGAGCCAUCGAGAGGGGUGCAGAGGAGAGAUCUGUGUGUUGGAAACGUGGAACCGACACAGCGCGGCCUCGAAGGACCUUCCAAUUUAGGGCAAGCAGGUUGCUGCUAGGCAGGAAGAACAUUUAAAGCAAAGUGGGGUUCAAAUAGCUGACACUUCUUAGGCAAUUACUAUUAAAGUGAGCGUUGGCACCGGUGAUGGGAUGGCUGCUGGGAACACGCUGUGCUGGUCAGCACCUCCUUGCCGCGCCGGGUAACCGGAGCCCCGUCACUUUUCCCGCGGCAAACCUCCCCGACAAGCUCCAGCAAAAAGAACUGAUUCUUUUCCUCCCUACAUUCCUGCGACUGCAAUUUUCGUGGCCUCCUGUCCAAAGCGGUUCUGGCACGGCGUUAACGUGACGGACGGCAGCUGUGCUUCACCCAGCCUGCCUUGUUUGCCAGGGCCCCGCGUCCGUCAGGUUUGUCACCCGCUUUGAAAUUCAAUCCUCGGGAACCAAACUAGGAAGGCUUACGGUUGUUUCCCAUUCCUCUUCUCACCCAAAUAUGUACAACCUCAUCAGCAUUACGCUGCAGCUGGUUGAGAAAUUUCCAAGAGAGCGUUGUUUUGUUUUGGUUUUUGUCAGAAAAUGUUGAGCUGUCAAAACCGAGGAUUUGUGUCGAAAUGUAAUCGUUUUGACGAAACUGUCAUCGAGGAAAGUCUCUCAGCUCUGGGAUGGAGAGCUUGAUCAAACCCAGACAGAUUGAGGGAGACAACCAGACCCGCGCCAGCCAGCAGCGCGGUGCGGAUCAGCCAACACUGGUGCUGCAGCCCGGGCACCACUGGGCACCCAGCACAGGGCUGGCACUGCUCCACCUGCCCCUGCCUCUGUCUGCAAAAAUAUUUGGAAACAGAGACCUCUGGGAGGCCUCCACGAGCUGGGAUCACCGUGGUUCCUCUCGUUGGCUCCCGUGUUCCCAAGAAGGCCUCAGAAGCUCUGGGAUCACUCUAGCCAAGUAUUGCAUGCUGUUGCACUCAGCUCCUUUCCCCACCAGCUCCAUGCCCAGCAGUGCUGCAGGGGUCAGGGCCUGCAGCGUGGCAGCACCGGGGUGUUGGGCUGGCGGUGCAACAGGGGUUUGCUUAGAGAUUCCCCAGUCUCCGUGCUCAGCUGUCAUGGUGUUCCUCCUUCCAGCACUGCCCAUCUCUGCCUGCCCAUGUCCUAGGCCCACAGGGAUGCAGAGCCGCAUCGAGCCGCACAUCAUCUGGGCACAGCAACAUGUGGACACAGCAUCAUCCAGACAUGGCAUCCUCCAUGCACAGCGUCAUUCAGACACAGCUCCCUCCCCUCCGUUGUGUCUGCUGAUGCUAUCCUGUUACCUCUCCUUCCAGAGCUUUACAAUAUAGCCCACCAAUUACCUCUGAUGGAGAGGGCACCCACAGAACCAUCAUGACAAAUGAACACCCACAGAGGGAAUUUGGCCUCCCCUUGUGCUGGUCCAGCUCAGCCCAGCUGGAUCCUUCCUAUAUCCCCGUGAGCACUGCCUGUGCCCAUUGGUGAGCAAUGCUGCAUGUGAGCAAUGCACCGGGCGAGGACGUGGGCAGUGAGCGAGGCAGCUCAGCAUUCACCAGGGCUUGGGUUCCCCAUCCGUACCCUGGGGUUAAUGAUGACUGCUUCAGGAAAAUGCUUCAAAAUCUUUGGAUGAAAAUAUGUCUGCGAGCACAAAUUAUCCUGCUUAUGACACGAGGAGGUUUAUGGCCUGCACGGCUCUUAAUAAUGCAUUAAUUAUGCUUACAGUAUUAGAAGUGUUCUGUGAUUAAGCAAAUAAUUACAGAAAUAGAUGAGUAAAUGGGGCACUGGGUGCAGUGCUGGUUACUGAGCUUAUCCCAUCCUACACAUUUCCAGGCCUUGUUUUCAGUUGCUUACAGCUCUGCCAAACUUUAAUUGUUGGAGAUGAAAUUUUCCAUGCUGGCGUCUGCCUCAAGCUACAUUUUUCUGGGGAGUUUCAUCCCGAAUGGUUCAUCUGCUCCUGAGAACUAAACUCAUCAAAGUGUGCUGAAUCCUGGCAGCUGCUUCCUUGUGAUGCUCUCGUUCUUUGUCGGGUCUCCACGCAGCAGAGCUUCGAGUCUGGGGGGGCUCACUGACAGGGGUGUGCUCCUUGUGUCCUCUGCCUGGAGAACACGACCGAACGGGGCCAUGUGCUGAGCCUCAGCAAGCACAGCUCUCACUUUGCUGUGCCUCUGCCACUAAAAUGCAGUGUCCUGCUGGGGACAGGGGUGGUGAGGCAGCGAGAGGCAGGGGGGGCUGAGGCUGAGGCUCUCAGGCGCUGCCUGGGGACCAGCUCAUGGCCAGGUGACGCUGCCAGCAGCCCCAGGCAGGACUUCUCCUGCUGCUCGUACAGCUCGUGCUUCUCUCUUCUUGGGCAUUCAAAUCUGAGAUCACGGGAGCUGAUUUCAGAGACGCUAAACGUUUGUGGCUGCAGAGGAAGCCGUCAGAAGCUGUGCUUUGAACACAGAAAGCAUUAUAUAAAAGGCCAAGUACCAUCAAAAAAAAAAAAAAAUCAGCUGCCUCAAAUGGGGCACUUGAAAUUGCCAACUCUUUUAAUCUUUUGCUAUCGGUGCCUGAGCUCUCUUCGAGCACGCAGGGUGCAGCCAGCAGGGCUCCAUCGGUGAGAGCGGCCGCGCUGCCCCAGGGACGGAGCCUGGCGCUGGGGCAGCCUGAGGUUGGCACUUUGCUGGCGGCAGAGUGUGCUUGCAUGGGCGGUGCGGAGAGGACCCUACACAAAGACAGCCUCAGUCCAUCUUUUCCUAACUUGUGAGCUCUUGCCACCGUGGUGGUACUCCUGCGGUGCUGCGUGUGAGCGAGGAGCACUGUAGCACGUACUUGUGCCAAGGCACGGCGUGCAUGCAGCUCUCCCCGGCAUGCCUAUCCCUGGCUCCUCCUGCUGCUGGAGGACACUCAGACAUCGCUUUCUGUGAUUUCAGUGGCCAGAAACUCCUGUGCUCUCAGCAGCAUUUCUCGUGCCCUGCAAGGGAAAGUGUUAUCGGCUUCAGGAGCUCUCCUUGCCAGGAAGCUGUCAGCAUGGCUGUAAUCACACUGCUCAUGAAGAAUCCUCCGAGGCAUCCGCCUACGUUUUAACUCAUCUUUUUUUCAGCAGUAUUUUCUUUCUGACCAGAAAGUCAUAUCUUGGACCACAAUACGGCAACAGCAUCGCCCGUCUCUCUGAGCAGCUUGGUUCUCCCCUCUGCAGGCGGCUCCGCUUCCUCUCCUGUGUCACAUCCGAACACAAAUGUGCUGCUCAUGCUUCACGGUUGUCACACACACCCUGGGAAUUGUUUUGACACCGUUCCCAAUGGGUCAUCCUGCAUGGAACAUGUCGUCCCUAUCUGCGGUCCCACCAAGAGCCCGGGCAGGGGAUGCUGUGGGGAGGAGGCCGUGGUCCCACGCUGCUUUCAGGGGCCCUGAUGCAAUGCUCCAGAAAGUCAGAGUCUUUCUGUUGAUUGCAAAUGAAUUUGGCCAUCUCUGGUAAGAAUCUGAGAGUUUUGUUGGUUGCGUAUUUGGAAGGAUUCUCCUAGCCUUUGGGUUCGGCCUCUGCAAGGAUCAAGUCAGUGAGUCAGCACUGCUGAGACUUUUUGUAACCAUUCAGGUCGGAUGUUCAAACACAAACUGAGGACGUUGCUGCAUGGGCUUUGUUCUCGCACCGCGCUGGCAGUCAAGCUGGCACUGCUCUUUUCAUCUCAGCCCUCUCUUGCCUCAAUGCGGUGUGCCCGUCACUCGCUCUUGUUUAUUUUCACAAGCUAUUUUAGUCAAUCUGCUGAAGGAAUCUCGCUCGGCAAUGAGUGCUGACCUUGAGCCGCUCCUUUUCUUUCUCUCUCCUUUAUUUAAGAAUGUGCAAUGAAUUAAGACAUCACUUAUAUCUGCACUCUGUGCAGCAACAACGGCUCUCCAAUCGAGCAUGAAUGGCAGGUCUGCGGGCAGCACUGUCCUGGAAAUGUGAUAUUAUGGAAACGAGAGGUGACCUGCUUACAGACAAAACAAUGUGACGGGAAGAAUCCUGCCUCCCAAAUGGGACAUGACGGCUGUCGCCCGGGGGCCGCGCCGCUCACCUUGCAUCAGCAGCCCCUGACAGGUGGGGGGAGCACACGGAGCAGCAGGUCCCAGGCAGCGGUGAAGCGCUCAUCCCCACUUUCCCCUCCAAAAUCCACCUCCUGCCUUCCCCCUCCCUCCCUCGAGGUGAGUGCCAGCAAGCCGCCAGUGGCAUCGAGCUGUGAAACCUUUACUUGGCUCAAAGUUCUUCUCAUUGUAACCCGAGUAGGGCAGUGCAGCAUCGCUCACAGCGCUCCACCCUGGGCAGCGAUGCAGCGGGGGCAUGGGGUCCCAUGGGGUCCCACGGGGUCCAGCUGCCUGCACACCCCACGGGACCCACCAGCUGUAUGUCCCGUGGGAGCCAGCUGCCCACCAGCUCCAGACCAGCCUGCAGCCAGGAGCUACAUGGAGCCUGUGCCACAGCCUGAAACUGAGGGAGCUUGGAGGUUUGGGUUUAAUCACAUUCUGGAGGGGAGAAAGGGAAAUUCCUCAAAUCUCUUGCUUUUUCAGACCCUUCUAUACUCUGAUCUCAGAGGUACCAAGGAAUUAGCACAAACCCAUACCAAACAAUAAUAACCACAUUCAGCAUGCUUGCUUAGAAACUCAUGGAAACUCAAGGAACAAAAGGAAUCCAUGGUACUGUGAGCCCACACUGUCAUGGGACCGUUGCAUUUCUUCUCUCUCCUCUCUGUACUUGGCACUGGAGCUCUGCAGGGCCAUGGAGGGAGAAAUCUGUCCUGGGGGACCUAUCCUCAUCCCCGUCCCCAGCCCUUGUGGAGCCCAGCCCUGCAGAUGUGAUCAAUAAACCACAGAGCUGUGGACACCGCUA